AAAACACAAGCAGAUGAUUAUAUUCGGUGAAUGAUGGUAUAU
rnacentral:guide_RNA from 1 species